AGCACAUCCUUUGUACUCAUUUAGAAACGUAACUCUGAAUUUCUCUGUCUCUGCAAAGGGGUAAUUCCUGGGUGUUCUUCAGUGGUGAGUGAAGGCAUUUUUGCACAUGCUAUCGGAUGAACUGAGUCUAGAAUUUUGGUGAGACAUAUUUGAUACCGAAAAAAGUGAACCCCAGGAGAGGGCUCCAAGCUUCAGCUCUUGUCUGAGACUGUCCUGCACUGUGGCUGUAUGAUUACCAUAGCCCUUGACUUCUGAAUGGCAAAUGGCACCUGAAAGAGAAAUCACUAAGUCACAGGGUCGGCUCCAUCCUACUCCUCUAUACUAUACAGAUGUCAGUCACCUUUUGUCCGUGACCUUGUGCCUCAGAUGGAGCUUUAAACGUCGUUGACUUUCUGCUUGCUUCUCUGCUUACUGAGAGAAUGUUGACUCUUCAGCCUUCUGCAGUGUUUGCCCCAAAACUGAUUGCUGGAUUCCUCACCUGUGGUAUAUGCUGGGUUACUCUGUUCUGAGUUCACUCUCUUAGUUGGAACAGAUUGUCUUUAUUAUUCUGAAUGAGUAUAAAUUUUCCACAGAUUCUCCUGUACUUCAUUUUAUAAACCCCCGGUUUCUUAAACUUCACUCUUUUGUGGAGGGUGACCUUCCUGCUUCCUGCUUCCUGCUUCCUGCUUCCUGCUUCCUGCUUCCUGCUUCCUGCUUCCUGCUUCCUGCUUCAGACUGCAGACCAGGGCUUGGACUUGGCUGUGUUCCUCUGCUGAAGGUUACAGCUACUGCUGCACAGCUGUCUUUGUACAGAUCUCCCCAGAUAAAGCCACAAUGUAAGGUUCCAGGUGGCCACACUUAUUUGGAGACACCAUUUAACACGGUUCUGCUUCUACUUCCAUGAGAACCUAGUGAAGAAGACACAGCCAGAGCUUUGAUCAAAGAUUCCAAAUGCAAAUACAACUAACCACCCAACUGGUCCCAUCAGCCAAUGUAUCUCUUUGUUACCUCAAGGGAGAUUGAUUUACGCUUUCAUCAAUAAAUCUUCAUAUUUUCAA